UGAAUGGCCCUCCUGGAAGUCGGCCACCUUGAGGAAGAGAAUUCUUCCUGCACCAGGCGGGAUUCCCUCCAGCAGUCUGUUACACAAGAGGGCCGCAUGGAGACUACUGGCAGCACAGGUUCACUUGUCCUGGCUUGCAGGACAUGUAGCCCCAUAGGGCCAGGUUCAUCUCACUGAGCGCUGGGGUCUGAGGGCGAAGCCCUGCUGUGGACCUUCUGAUGAACAUAAAUGCAUCCUGACCACAACCAGCCAAGAACCCUCCCUGGAUCCUGCCAGCUCUGUGGUCCCUGAUGAAGAUGUAGCUCUCAGCCCUGAUGAUGCAGCUCCCGCGCCCUGCCUGCCUGCCUGCCUGCCGCUCAACUCCCUAUCAUAUUGUUCAUACAUAGACUUACCCUCUGAAACUACAGCCAAUCCUCCAAUUAAAUGUUUUCUUCUUU
rnacentral:lncRNA from 1 species